ensembl:lncRNA FAM66D family with sequence similarity 66 member D
GGGACUGAGCCCAUCCAGGGACUGGGACUCCGGGGUUCUGGUGUAGGUGGAUCCGGGGCAGGCUCAGGACCAAGUCCCUCUCCUUCCACCAAGGAGCGCCCAGAGGCCGGCGGGAGCUCCAGGUUCACCUCCUCCUCCUCCAGGAAAUCCCACUUCCAACUGGAUGUCUGGAUGAACUACUGAAAGCUGCUGAGUGUCCUGCAGCAGGCCAUUUCCAAUCCAGCGGAAGACCUUCUAGAAGAGAUGAUGGUGGGAGAGUGCUGACAUACUAUGUGAAGCUACUAUUUGGAGUUGGACACGAGUGCAUGUGUCCUUGUGCCACAACGGGAAUGUGAGCUGGAUGACAAAUGGAGAUUUGGACUUGUGAUAAUUGGCCUCUGUGUCAUUGUGUGGAAGACUGACUGGUCCCUUUAUUUCCUGUAGCUUGACUACAACACAAAUGAAUCCACUCAAAUGUUGGCAAGUGGAGCAGAGUCCCAGAACAGGUGCUGGAGCAGCCCCCCUGGAAGUGAUGCAGCAUCCAGGAAGACGGAGGAAGGGGCGGAGAAGGACCUCUGCUUUCCAGGCUGCCUUUUAUACUGCCUCUGGUCACCUGACGUGGAACGUACCCUAACCUAAUCAGUUACAUGAGGCGCUUGGAAACCACCGUCAAUUGGACCGCACUGGGAAACACAGAUGAACAAAGUCAACACCGCUUUGUCCUUCAGUGCCUGGCUCCUUUUUCAGCUCGUCUUGCGACUCUAGGUAUUGGAGUCCAGGGAGGGCUGGGGAAACUGAGUUACAGAGCUUGUCUGCACUGAGUCAUCAGGAGCAAAUGCUAGAUCAGACCAACAGGUAUUCUACCAUAUAAGAAAUAUGAUGUUCUCUGUACAUUGAAGAGUUGGUCUAAUAUUUGGCCUGGUGGAUGGAGAAAUUGCCUGUCUGCUCCGCUCUGGUUGAAGAAACCAGUCUGACUGUCUCUGAGGCUAUGGAGCAGUCCAUGAAGAAUGAAAGCCCUUGGCCAGGCACAUUGGCUCACACCUGUAAUACCAGCGCUUUGGGAGGCCGAGGCAGGUGGAUCACUUGAAGUCACGAGUUUGACACCAGCAUGGCCAACAUGGUGAAACGCUGUCUCUACAGAAAAUAGAAAAAUUAGCUGGGCCUGGUGACACGUGCCUGUAAUCCCAGCUACUCAGGAGGCUGAGGCAGGAGAAUCACUUGAACCUGGGAGGCAGAGGUUGCAGUGGGGAGCUGAGAUCACACCACUGCAUUCCAGCCUGGGCGACAGAGCGAGACUCUCUCAAAAAAAAAAAAAAAAA